GCAUAUCAAUAAGCGGAGGAAAAGAAAAUAACAAUGAUUCCCCUAGUAACUGCGAGUGAAGAGGGACAAGCUCAAAUUUUAAAUCUGUUAGGUAUAACCUAACCGAGUUGUAAUUUGAAGAGGUGUUUUCCGCGUUUUUGGUCAGUCCAAGUCCUUUGGAAUGAGGCAUCAUGGAGGGUGAGAAUCCCGUUCGGCUGAUCAGAUUCGUUUUACAAUACACCUUCAAAGAGUCAAGUUGUUUGGGAUUGCAGCUUAAAAUGGGAGGUAAAUUUCUCCUAAGGCUAAAUAACGGCGAGAGACCGAUAGCGAACAAGUACCGUGAGGGAAAGAUGAAAAGAACUUUGAAAAGAGAGUUAAACAGUACGUGAAAUUGUUGAAAGGGAAACGAUUGAAGCCAGUCGUACCUUCGGGUAAUCAGCCUUUCGGGUGCGAUUCUGUGGAGUGUGAGGAGCUUAACACCUUCAUGCUUUGCAUAUUUGUGCUCUUGGGUGUACUUGCCCGUGUGGUUGGUUAACAUCAAUUUUGAUUAUCAUAAAAUGACUGGGGGAAUGUAGCUCCGAUCUCGUAUUGAAGUGUUAUAACCUUCGGUAGAUGUGAUGAUCGAGAUUGAGGAUUGCAACGGAUACCCUUCGGGGCUACCUGUCUGGUCUCUGAUCGUUGCUCUGGUGCCGAAAGCGUGCUUACGGUUAUCAAAGUCGAUGGUCAAUAGGUUAGAACGGGUUAAAUUCGUUNANGAUGUUGACGUA
rnacentral:rRNA from 1 species